rnacentral:rRNA from 1 species
GACGAACGCUGGCGGCGUGCCUAAUACAUGCAAGUUGAGCGCUGAAGGUUGGUACUUGUACCAACUGGAUGAGCAGCGAACGGGUGAGUAACGCGUGGGGAAUCUGCCUUUGAGCGGGGGACAACAUUUGGAAACGAAUGCUAAUACCGCAUAAAAACUUUAAAAACAAGUUUAAAGUUUGAAAGAUGCAAUUGCAUCACUCAAAGAUGAUCCCGCGUUGUAUUAGCUAGUUGGUGAGGUAAAGGCUCACCAAGGCGAUGAUACAUAGCCGACCUGAGAGGGUGAUCGGCCACAUUGGGACUGAGACACGGCCCAAACUCCUACGGGAGGCAGCAGUAGGGAAUCUUCGGCAAUAGACGAAAGUCUGACCGAGCAACGCCGCGUGAGUGAAGAAGGGUUUCGGAUCGUAAAACUCUGUUGGUAGAGAAGAACGUUGGUGAGAGUGGAAAGCUCAUCAAGUGACGGUAACUACCCAGAAAGGGACGGCUAACUACGUG